rnacentral:rRNA from 1 species
GACGAACGCUGGCGGCGUGCCUAAUACAUGCAAGUAGAACGCUGAAGAGAGGAGCUUGCUCUUCUUGGAUGAGUUGCGAACGGGUGAGUAACGCGUAGGUAACCUGCCUUGUAGCGGGGGAUAACUAUUGGAAACGAUAGCUAAUACCGCAUAACAAUGGGUGACACAUGUCAUUUAUUUGAAAGGGGCAAUUGCUCCACUACAAGAUGGACCUGCGUUGUAUUAGCUAGUAGGUGAGGUAACGGCUCACCUAGGCGACGAUACAUAGCCGACCUGAGAGGGUGAUCGGCCACACUGGGACUGAGACACGGCCCAGACUCCUACGGGAGGCAGCAGUAGGGAAUCUUCGGCAAUGGGGGCAACCCUGACCGAGCAACGCCGCGUGAGUGAAGAAGGUUUUCGGAUCGUAAAGCUCUGUUGUAAGUCAAGAACGAGUGUGAGAGUGGAAAGUUCACACUGUGACGGUAGCUUACCAGAAAGGGACGGCUAACUACGUGC